GCGACGCCAGAAGGUGGCGUUGAAAUGGUCGUAGAGGCCCGCAUCGAGCGCGUUCCAGGUGCGCGCGGCCCGCGCCAGCGCCUCGGGGAUGGUGGCCAGGCGCGACGAGGCAGCGCGCGCGUUGAGCUUGGCGUAGAGCACGUCGUCCAGGUCCCAGGCCAGUAGACGCCGCAGCAGCACGAGGGACUCGUCGAAGUACUCCGCGAUCAUGACGAGCGAGAAGACCUCCUCCACCUGGCGGAUGAGGCCCGCCAGGUAGGCUGCGUCGUCACGAGGGCUGCGCUCAUUGUCGCCUCCAAGGUCGUAGGCCAGCGUGUUGUGAGCAAACAUGGCGAAGUGCUCGCCUGGACGGUAGUAGGCCUCGGGUGCGCGCAGGAAAGUCUCGAGCGACGCAUUGGGCACGCGCCUGAAGGCCGGGCAGUACUGGUUGUAGUAGCUGAAAAGCGACUCGAACAUGGCCGCGGGUUCGCGCAGGAUGGUGACAUAGAUCGUGUCUGGAGGCAUGAGGCGCUCGAGUUCUGCACGGUCGAAGCGCAGAUGGCUGGCCAGCAUGUGCGGGGGCCUCGUAGCUGGGUGCACGAAGUGGGCCGAGAAGUUUCGCGGGUAACAGAACUGGUGCUCGCAGCUAGGGUGAGGCAGGGCCACCGUGAGGUUGUGGCGUUCUGCGAAGCGGAACAGGAUGUUCUGCACCGUAGUACCUGCUGUCUUGUGAGUCUUCAGGAAGGCCACGGCCAUGUGCUUGGCCCGAGGUGGCGAUUCUCGCAGAGGCGGGCAGCUCAGAGGGAACAACUUGGGGUACCUGCAAAGCCCAGGGUGUGUGAGAGGCGUAAAGGCAAGGAAGUGAGUCGGCCUGAUCUUUCCUCUCAUGAUUGGAGAGACCAGGUGCCAGGUAGCCUUUAAGAUGGGUUCUACAGGGGCAGGAAAGACUGCCUAUUUGUGAAGAACACUGGCUGCCCUUCUAGAGGACCCAGGUUCAUCUCCCCAGGCCCUAUGUGGCCACAGUUGUCUGUAACACCAAUCACAGAGGAUCCAAUGCCCUCUUCUGGCCUCAGAUGACACUGCAUGUAAUACCACCCAUACACAGACACAUAAGGGGCUGGGGUUGUGUAUGGCGUGGGAGGCAGAGCUACGUGGAUCAAGGAUAAUGUGCAUUAGAAGGAGGCGGUCCCAAAGAAACUGAGCACCGAGUACUGUCAGCCUGCUUGAAGAGCUGGAGAGUGCGGAACUACCUGAACUUUCUCAGAUUGCUUUUAGUCAGUCCUUCAGAAAAGACUGUGUGUCUGGCAGACACCUUGACUGAAAACCUGCAAGAGACCUGGAGUCACGAGUUCUCGGCCGCAUUUGGAUUCAUGAUUUAUAGAAAUGGAAAGAGAAUAAAUGUUUGUUGUUUUCAGCA
rnacentral:lncRNA from 1 species